UUGCGUUUAAGAAGGUGGUGGGCUUUCAUUCAGCUUCUCAAUUGCAACACUCCAGCGGCGAUUUGUACUUGCCACACUCCAGCGGUGAUUCCGGCAUGCUCUCCGGCAGCUGCUGCCACCUUAUUUGUGUGCCGCUGUUAGCUCUUCGGUUAUGACCGCUGACAAGAGGAAGAAGCCUUCUUGCGAUUCCUCACCUGUUAGCUGUACUUCCGAUUGCUCCUCCCAUUCGUCAACA